GACGAACGCUGGCGGCGUGCUUAACACAUGCAAGUCGAACGGAAAGGCCCUGCGUUUGUGGGGUGCUCGAGUGGCGAACGGGGGAGUAACACGUGAGUAAACUGCCCUUGACUUUGGGAUAACUUCAGGAAACUGGGGCGAAUACCGGAUAGGAGCUCCUGAUGCAUGGGGGGGGAUGGAAAGUUUCGGCGGUUGGGGAUGGACUCGCGGCUUAUCAGCUUGUUGGUGAGGUAGUGGCUUACCAAGGCUUUGAAGGGUAGCCGGCCUGGGAGGGUGACCGGCCACAUUGGGACUGGGAUGCGGCCCGGACUCCUACGGGAGGCAGCAGUGGGGAAUAGUGCACACUGGGCGGCAGCCUGAAGCAGCAUCGCCGCGUGGGGGAUGACGGCUUUUGGGUAGUAACCCGCUUUCGCCUGACAAGAAGCGUCAGGGCCGGAACUGGGUAGAGAAGCACCGCUUAACUACUU
rnacentral:rRNA from 1 species